rnacentral:lncRNA from 1 species
UGUCUUAAUGAAACAAAAUACGCCAAUCUUUGUGAAAUGGAGUGACUAGUAAAUUACAAAAACCACCACGUUACAGGCCAAAGUUUCACAUAGAUACCGGUCUACGUUUUUUUUGCUAAAAACCAUCGGAUCUACUUAACUGCACGCUCGCUAGCGCUCCCUCUCCGGAAUCGAACCCUAAUUCUCCGUCACCCGUCACCACCAUGGUAGGCCCCUAUCCUACCAUCGAAAGUUGAUAGGGCAGAAAUUUGAAUGAUGCGUCGCCGGCACGAGGGCCGUGCGAUCCGUCGAGUUAUCAUGAAUCAUCGGAUUAGCGAGCAAAGCCCGCGUCAACCUUUUAUCUAAUAAAUGCGCCCCUCCCAGAAGUCGUUGCACGUAUUAGCUCUAGAAUUACUACGGUUAUCCGAGUAGCACGUACCAUCAAACAAACUAUAACUGAUUUAAUGAGCCAUUCGCGGUUUCACGGUUCAAAUUAGUUCAUACUUGCACAUGCAUGGCUUAAUCUUUGAGACAAGCAUAUGACUAGUGGCAGGAUCAACCAGGUAGCACGUCCUAGUCGACAAGCCGUCACCGAGAGUCGCACGUGCCAGCCACUUGCAUGCCAUGGCAACGGCAAAAAACAGAGCGGCCGUCGUCCUUUGAGUGAGCUUCAGAAAGGGACGCGACGCCAAAGGGCCACGAGCCUCUACAAUGAGUGACAUCCAAGACCAAGAGCCUCUACAAUGAGCGACAUCCAAGACCCCGAAUCUGACAGAUAUGGCGCACUGUCGGCCAGCGCGGCUUUUCAACGUGGCCAUGGCCCAUGGCCACCUCCAUUCGCACCUGGACUCCCAGCAGCAGUUCCAAGCCACCGGCCACGAUGUCUGGUCCCACGCUCGCCGAUUUCGUCUCGCUCGAGAAGGACGGUGCCGCCCGCUCCGUCGCAGACGCGACCACCUCCAAAUCCCUCGUGGCGCUCGACGCUCGCGACCCGCCGUCCCCUUGCGCCUCGCCGAGCCCUCCGAAACGCUCUCCCCCACCAUCCCAGAGGCCGAAUCCGUCGCGAAUCAGGGAGCUCUUCGUCGGAUCAGAGAGCACCUUGUACGCGUGAUUGACGAGGCGGAGCGCCAAAUCAGUGCUGGGCUAGGCUCGCGCGGGUCAGAGCGGACACGGCGGCGGCGUGCGCGGGUCUCAGAGCGAAGGCGACGGCGGCACGGCAGGUCAGAACGGAGGCGGCGGCGGCGCGACGGGUCAGAGCGGAGGCGGGAGCGGCGCGCGUGGGUCAUAGCGGCGGCGGCGGCCCGUGCGGGCGACGGCAGAGCAGUGCAGGAGUUGGGAAGACGAGAGGCGCGAGGGAGCUCCGGUAUCCAAGGCGUCAAGGCGAUGGCGGCGUUCGGUCUGCGGCGAAGGGACGGAGCUCGUGCGGUCGGCGCGAGGAAAGGGAGGUCUCGGAAGAGGCUGUCGUCGGCAGCAAGCGCUUAGUGACGGACGACGUCGUGGCGGGGAAACUCCGAGGCGAUGCUGCUUCGGGUGAGGGCACCGACGGCGGCGCGAAGGCGGGGCGCUGCUCCUGGAGGCGACUCGGGGAGUGGGGAGGAAGUCUGAACCUCGAAGGUGAUGGGGAGGGAAGUGGGCAGCGAUUUCUCCACCACCACAAAGCGCAUCUCCUAAUUCCGUCGAACCAAAUCGGCAGCAUAGCUUCCCACCAUCCAAGUCCGGCCGCGGCAUAGGGAGGGUGAGAUCCGGGCAGGCCGUCCCGGCGUGCACGGCUUGAUGCUCUCAGUCGUGGCAUCGCCUGUUCCCCCUAACAGCACGGCAGGGCGGAGCAGUGCAGCAGCAGGAGGGGGCUGGAGCGGCGGGAGGCGAGGGCGGCCGUGCGCGCGGGCCUGCAGAGCGGGGGCCGCAUGAUUGGGCGUGCGGAGGCGAAGGCGGCUCGAGCGGAGGAGACGACUCGGUCCGAGUCAAAUAGCCCACCAGACAUGUGGUCCCGCCUCGUCAGAUUCGGGGUUAGACGUUAAGAGCGAGCAGCUAAUUAAAUCAGGUGAUUUUAGUAACAAAAGGUAUACUGGUAUACCUACGUGAAACUCUAGCCUUAAAUCAGGUGAUUUUAGUAGCAAUGUGAUGGUUUUUCGGUUUUCUAAAUUUAUUUACUCAAGAAAAGAAAACAAAGUUUUUUAAAUUUAUUUACUCAAGAAAAGAAAACAAAGUACUACAACGACUUCGUUGAUGCUAAAUUAAUUGUGAUUGUACUAUUCUUGUCUACAUCCACGAAGGAUAUGCCACACUAAGAUUGUUUCUUGGAGUAUUCUUUUCUUAAAGCCCUGUGGAAAAAUUGGAGCACGGCUCCUUUGCCUUUCACGCAGAAAGACGACAUUUGUUGAUAAGUUUGAGGUUUUUGACAUCUUCCGUCUAAAAACGACUUGUUUACAAAUAUUACUCUCUUCUAGGAGGUAAAGCUCCUAUCACUUGCUCGAAAGAAAACUAUAACAACGAAUAUCUGAUUUAAUUUUUUUUUCACCAAUCAACCCGUCUGCAAGAACAAAUUGACACACCGUGCCUUGUUCCAUAUUCAUGUGUCCGAUGAAGAGGGCGAUGCAUAGAGGUGUGUUCUUAAAGGGUUUCCUCCGUCGAAGUUUUAUCCUGCAACCGUCGUUUGCCAUCACCAAUUUUGCGUGAGGUUCAUGAGGAAAAGUGGGAGUGGAAGCGGAAACAAAGACCUUCGUACAAACAAGGGUCGCAGGAGAAAUGUCCCUUCAUGCAAAUACUUCCUCCAUGAACAAAAGGGAGAAAUUUUUAAAUGAGGUUUUUUCUUUUCGAGGAAGUUAAAAGAGGUACAUUGUGUAGGUUGUUCUUUAAAUUUAUAUGUUCGCACAUAUACUCAGUGGCCAAAUCGCAACCAGUGAGAUGCUGAAGUCUGCAACUUGAGCGAGUACCGGAAUUAGUGAAACCAAACCAAACAAGCACCUGCACCGGACCGCUCUUAUUGCAUCGCAUGAGACAGACAACAACCGCUGCUGCUGCUGCUGGCUGAUGCACCAACAUCAGCAGCAUAUCUGGCUCAAAAAAAUAUCUCCAAACUGCCAAAACCAGGCCAGAUGCCGCUGGCUGAUGCACCAACAUCAGCGGCAUAUCCAGCUCGAACAAAUCUCUCCAGAGUCCCCAAACCAGACCAGAUCAGACCAAACUCAAGCUGGACUGGGAAAUUUCGCCAGCAGAAAUAUACUACCGUUUGCACGGCAAAAAAAAAUGAUACGAUAACACGGCAGCAGCAGCAGGAAACAGCUUCAUGCAUGCCUGCUUGCCGCCAGAGUGAAGGAACAUCAUCCAUCAGACAACCAAGGUAUGCUCUAACAUGCCGGUCACAGACCCAACAAUGCAUAAUUGAAAACAAGGUAAACCAAACUAAGCAGGUGCAGCAACAGCACAUCAGCUAUGUAUAGUUUGUACCACCGCAUGUCAAGAGUAAGAGUCACAUGCAUGUACAGGUAAUGUAAACCAACAAGUCAAUACAAGCCAGAUUUUCAAGAUGCGCAAAAAAAAUAGAGGUUUAGGUAGGCAGUUGCUGCACACGGACCAAGUAGUAACAACGUGCAAAUCGGUUCUCGCUGCUGUUCACCGUUGUCGCUGUCGUCGGACAGGCACAUGACUGGUGGAUGGUCCCUGGCCUGUGCCUGCAGAACUGCUAGUCAUACCCAGCCUAGCUGGCAGAUGCGCAUUCGGUAAUGCCGAUUGGGAGCCGGGUUGAUUGACACGACCAGCUAUUCGAGCACCAGCAUGCCAGCUUCCUGGUGCUGCAUUCAGCGGAUAUGCGGUGCUGCCCAAGACUAUGUUGGGAUCUGAUGAUUGCUGGGUGGCUACCAUGAAAGUAGGAUUUGAACUAGAUGACCGCAAAAUGUUGGCCAUGGACGAAUCUCGCCGACCAUAUGGUAGCGAGGAUGCUGCUGGGAGAGCUGGGUGUAACCGUGAAGCUGAUGAUAUUGUAUGGUGGUGAACCGAACUUGAAGUCAUAGAGGUCAAUAUGCCACCUGCUUGCCGACUUGUCGCUCCCAUAAUACCAGCGCCAUACUGUUCCUCCGCUGGAGUAGCAGAGAGGUGCUGCUGGUUUGCGAGAGUGGCCACAUAUGGUGGUCGCAUACCGAAUUGCUGGAGAUGAGGUGUGGCAGCAUGUAGUUGUGCUCCGAUGGAUCCGUAGCUCGUCAUCAUAGAAGGUGGUGACAUUGUUCUAUAGAGAUUGCCGGGUAAGAUUGGUUGUGGUUGGACAAUACGUGGUUGUGCUACAAAGCUGCCACGUGGCACAGAUGCUGGAACAAAAUGUGACGACGUGCUGGCUCCAUAGAGAUUGCUAGGUAUAGUUGGUUGUGGUUGGAUAGUCUGUGACGAUGAUAGUUGAGCCACCAAUGAAGGUCGGACAUAGGGUCUUGCUGGUUGUAGAAUGUCUACUGACGAAAUAACUGGUGACACUGAGGUUUGAGUGGCUGAAGAAGAGUCAAGCUGCUGCUCCAUUACUCCACCUGCAUUACACAAGGAAAAAACAAACCAUUACUCGCAUGAUCCAAAGAUUUGAGCAAACUAACUAAGUGUAACAGAUCCUGCAUCUAAGUUUUCCUUUGGUUUUCAGGGAAAAGAAGUGAGUAGAGAUAGAGGAAUGGCACUUCCUGGUCCUUAUAGAUCUGCAUGCAUCAUCAGUUGGUUCACUAUACAAAACGACCAAAUAUAUAGCACAGAAGGUGCUGGCAUAUUGAUGAAUCAGGAAAGAACAAUAUGCUCCAUCUUAUAGAUUAAUCAAGACAAAAAAGGUAGAUUGUCACAUAUCUGCAUGAAGAACAGAUUAUCUAACGGCGAUCAAGCUCUCAGCUACUGAUUGGAAAGGAAAAAAAAAGGCUAGCUACAUGCCCAGAAAAUUAUUUUGGAAAUCAAAUUGAGUGAUACUAGCGAUGGUGAGAUGGAUACCUUGAGAUGCAGAUGAUGGUUUGGAAAUCAUUGGAAAGUUCUCAGCUACUGAUUGGUUUAAAAAAAACUUUCCUGUAGAUAUCAUCAAGCUCCUUCUUGCCCUGGAGAAAAGUGUUUUUUUCUUCUAGUACCAAUGAGCCAUACUUCGAAUUUACCUUGUCAGUUUCUUCUUUUUUGCCAAAGACCUUGCCAAUUUCUUGGUUGUACUCUUCUAGAAGCCGUGAUCUCUGUUCAAGAUGUGCAGCCAAGGAAGAAAAUGAAAACUCUCACAAGUAGCACAUGCAAUUUGCAGUAAAAGAAAAGUAGACAAAAUAAAAACAAGCAAACCUUCUGUUCAUGGUCUUUACUAAGCAAAGUGUGCUGAUGCUUUAACCAGUCCAGCAGUUCAUUUUCCAUCCUUGGCUUUUUAGACACUGAUGUUGUGACUGGAGAGAGUUGGGUGGGCUGCCCAGGACGAGGUGCCAAAUUUGGCAGAAAAGCUUCCUGUCUCCUUUCUUCAGAGCGUGUUCUUUCAUGUGGGACCUGUUGCUUUGUGGUUGAUGAGCGCAUUUCAGGCUGCAAACCUUGGGCUGACGUGGUGCCCAACACAUCAGAUCCUGCUUCUGCAGGUGGAUCCUGCAUUGAGACUGAUGGUUGUAUUUCGGCCUGCAGAUCAUGAGCUCUCACCACAUCAGACGUGUGUGCUGAUUCUACUCCUGGAUGUGGAUCUAGUGAAGGUUCUACACUUUGAUGAACGGGAAUACUUUCAGAUGGAAUAUCCUGCAUUGAGGUCGAUGGUUGAAUUUCAGGCUGCAAAUCCUGAGCUGCCACGGCACCCAAGAUACCUGCUCCUUCUGCUUCUGCCGGUUGAUCGUCCCGCGUUGGGAUUGAAGAAGCUAAAAUUGGUAACUCCAAGCAGACUUGGUCCGCGUAAAGAGUGCCAUCAUUACUUGCACUAACUCUCUUAACAACAGAAAUUGUACCUCCCAGCAACAUACUUGGAUUAGCAAUAUUAUCCCUCUCAGCAUGUUCAGUAUUUCUACACUCACCAGUUAGAGAUUCCUGAAAUAAAAAAUUAAAGGUGUCUGUGAUCAGUUGCCUGGCAUCACUCAAGCAGAUACAGCAACAGAGAACACAUAAAUAUGACAAGUACAAUUACAAGAGGAAACACAAAAAAGCUAAGCCUUAAGCACCAGUGAAGUAUGAAAGAUGAAAAUGACCACCAUGUGCAAGUUCUGAAAGCUGCAAUAUAAAUAUUAGCUGUGUCAACGAACACAUCUUUGAAGUGCUCUUUGACAAAUGAAAUAGAUACUUGCUCAAAAAGAAUGUGUUCUUCUAAAGACAGCAUAUCUCACCGUCAAAGUGUCAAUGCCUAGAGCACAGACGGUAGUUCAUGCUUGAAAAAAAGUUGAUAACUAAGAAUCUAAAACCGAGCUAUCUUGCUGGGGUUGCUCCAUGCUAAUUGUGGGUAGGACGAGUUGUUCUAGUACUCCCUUCGUUCCAUAAUAUAAGGCACGCACGCAUUUCAAGGUUUUGCUUUGACCACCAAUUAGACUAACAUAAUGUGAAUUAUGUGUUAUAAAAAUUAUACCACUAGAUUCAUAUCUGAAAGAAGUUUCCGAUGAUAUAAUUUUAAUAAUACAUAAUUCAUAUUUUCUUGGUCUAAUUGAUGGUCAAAGUUAGAUCUCAAAAUGCGUGGGCGCCUUAUAUUAUGGAACGGAGGGAGUAGUUUUUAAUUGUGUUCCUUGGGGAGGGAGCACACCAGAGAGCUAUAGAAUGCCGCGUGCUUGAAGGCUUGCGGCCUGGUGGUACCUUGGUGGAGAUAGAUUAGUAAGGGAAGCUGAACAGAAAAGGGGGAGAGAUGAAUGCUCAGCCGGGGGGGAAGGUAGACGCGAGGAUGAGAAUUUUAUUAUUUGGUUAUUCGGAAGUAGUAUCUUCAUCCACCUAAACAGGGGUGCAUCUAACAAGCUUGGCUAGAGAUAAGAUGGCAAUUAACUAAAUGGCAAGUUAUUGAAAUUCCAAAAUCCUGUCUGUGCACCAUAAGCUGCUGCCACAAUAGCCCCCACCUUGGUUGUGGUGUGCCAUGGGUGUGGAAUGAUGAGAUGCAUAGACCCAAAGGUUCAAAAUA